rfam:Chlorocebus sabaeus isolate 1994-021 chromosome 17, whole genome shotgun sequence.
ACAACGGCUCUUUUCAGAGCCACUUACUAUUUCUGCGGGAGAGCUG